CAUCGUGAGGUGGAAUCUGAAGGAAGCCGGAUGGCGAAUCUCUGGCCUGACGGACAGAAAUCACAUCAGGCAUUUCUAGGUGGGUAAGGCUGCCAAACAAGCUAAAGCCCCAAAACUGCACGGAACCUAGAGUGUAGAUGUGGCAGGUAGGUGGAGAGAAAGAAG
rnacentral:ncRNA from 1 species